rnacentral:rRNA from 1 species
CCUACGGGUGGCACCAGUAGGGAAUCUUCGGCAAUGGACGAAAGUCUGACCGAGCAACGCCGCGUAAGUGAAGAAGGAUUUCGGAUCGUAAAACUCUGUUGUUAGAGAAGAACAAGGACGUUAGUAACUGAACGUCCCCUGACGGUAUCUAACCAGAACGCCACGGCUAACUACGUGCCAGCAGCCGCGGUAAUACGUAGGUGGCAAGCGUUGUCCGGAUUUAUUGGGCGUAAAGCGAGCGCAGGCGGUUUCUUCAGUCUGAUGUGAAAGCCCCCGGCUCAACCGGGGAGGGUCAUUGGAAACUGGGAGACUUGAGUGCAGAAGAGGAGAGUGGAAUUCCAUGUGUAGCGGUGAAAUGCGUAGGUAUAUGGAGGAACACCAGUGGCGAAGGCGGCUCUCUGGUCUGUAACUGACGCUGAGGCUCUAAAGCGUGGGGAGCAAACAGGAUUAGAUACCCCUGUAGUC